rnacentral:rRNA from 1 species
UACGUAGGGGGCAAGCGUUGUCCGGAAUCAUUGGGCGUAAAGAGCGUGUAGGCGGCUCGGUAAGUCCGCUGUGAAAGUCCAGGGCUCAACCCUGGAAAGCCGGUGGAAACUGUCGAGCUCGAGUCCGGAAGAGGCGAGUGGAAUUCCUGGUGUAGCGGUGAAAUGCGCAGAUAUCAGGAGGAACACCAAUGGCGAAGGCAGCUCGCUGGGACGGUACUGACGCUGAGACGCGAAAGCUAGGGGAGCAAACAGG